UUAAGGAUUAACAAAGUAAGAUAAUCAAAACUCCCUCUCUCUUAAUAAAAUAUUCACGUGAGAAACAAAAACAAUAUAGUCACCAUUUUCAUUAAUAUUAUUAACUUUUAAAAAACAAAUAUCUCUCUCAUAAUGAUCAUGGUCUUUAUCUCUCAUUAUGACCUCACAUUAUUUCUCACAUAAAGCAACAAAAUUACACUAGUUAUUUUCAGCAAAAAAGUUAAUCAAAGAAGAAGCAAAGAACAUAGGCGGAGCACAUGAACUCACGGCGGCUCGCAUAAAGCUCAUGGCGGCCGGAGCUUCUCCGGCGCGGUGGCCGGAGAAAUUAGCAAUCAAAGGAUGGAAUCGUUAUCAGAGGCUGAUUCUCAACCUUUCAGUGUCAAGUAACGAAACAAGGGCGGAGGAGACGGCUCCGGCGCGGUGGUCAGAGUUCCGACGGUGGUUUCCGGUCAGGUGACGAAUUCAGGUGAGUUUCUUAUGAUUUUCUCUGAGUAAGUCUGAAAAGUUCUGAGCCAAAAGGUCCUUUGUGUUAGUUGAUUGAAUGAUUAUAUAGUACUCAGAGUCAGGGUUUUUGCUGUGAAUCUUGGGCUGAGAAGUAAUUUCAGAUGCAGAGUGAUUUUUUUUGGUGUGAAGCCCAUUCCGAAAAUGCUAUCAAUUGAGUCCAAGAAUUCACAUUUUUUGUUUGCAAAUUAUGUUAUGCUAUGUUUAACUUGGGCCUGAUUUAACAACUUUAUGGAAUUGUUGUUUUUACAAUAAAUAUGCUAAUUCUUUUCUUCUUCUCUUUUUUUAUGUGAUGAAUGAAAAUAUUGGUGGACAUGGAGAAUUAGAACUUGAAGAUGAACAUGAACAAAAACCGUUGAUGAAGCUUUCUAAGUCACGCCCAUGGAGAGCUUGUGAAGUGAUUCAAGAAAAUAUGACUUUGUAACAUGGAUGUAAUUUGAAAUUGUAUAUGGAACUUGAAUUCUUUAUGCUUGACAACCUGUAGAAACACUUGUUGUUUUUUGGAAUACCAAAUGAACCUUUCGUAUC